rnacentral:rRNA from 1 species
UACGAAGGGGGCUAGCGUUGUUCGGAAUCACUGGGCGUAAAGCGCAUGUAGGCGGGUCUUUAAGUCAGGGUGAAAUGCCAAGGCUCAACCUUGGAACUGCCUUUGAUACUGGAGACCUUGAGUCCGGAGAGGUGAGUGGGAACUGCGAGUGUAGAGGUGAAAUUCGUAGAUAUUCGCAAGAACACCAGUGGCGAAGGCGGCCUCACUGGCCCGGUACUGACGCCUGAGGAUGCGAAAGCGUGGGGAGCAAAACAGG